CAUGGUGCUAGGGUAAUUCCCAAGAAUCCACAGGGAGGAUCCGGUUAAGACUCCUAACAAUAGUGAGAAGAUGCCUCAACUGGACUAACCCUUGAAUCAGAUUGAGUCAUGGAGUUCCUGCUGCUAUGGAUAUGUUGGUUAAGUUCCUUCCUACACUCCAGCAAGUCAUAGAUGACAUGGAUGUUGAAGAGCAACAACUCAAAGCCCAGAAUGUGUGUCUACGUAGUGUCUGGGCUGUUCUGACUGGGCCACUGGGACCACCUUCCUCGGGAUUCUGUGAGCAGAUCUUUCGAAGAGCAGGGAGAACAAAAGAUUCUUCGGCACAUCUGAAGACGGCUGGUUGAGUGUGCCUGAAUAUUCACCUGAAAACUGCAUGGGGACAUUGAAACUGAGGUUGACAAUCAGACAGCUGAAGAGUCACCAAGCACAAGGAAGGAGGAACACCGUGAAACAAUCCGAUCCACCAGAAAGCUUUAACACUUCUGCACAGCAAUAUACAUCAUUCUGUUCCAUUAUUCUACAAAACAACUCUCAAGAAAUCAAGUUUGUCGCAGUUAUAC